AGAACGAACGCUGGCGGCGUGGAUAAGACAUGCAAGUCGCACGGAGCUUUAUCUGUAGCAAUACAGGUGGAGUUCAGUGGCGUAAGGGUGCGUAACACGUGGGCAAUCUGCCGGGAAGCGGGGGAUAGCUCGCCGAAAGGCGAAUUAAUACCGCAUGUGGUUAGUGAAGGAUUCUUCGCGAUACCAAAGCCGGGGACCGAGCAAUCGGCCUGGCGCUUCCUGAUGAGCCCGCGGCCUAUCAGCUAGUUGGUGAGGUAACGGCUCACCAAGGCUUUGACGGGUAGCUGGUCUGAGAGGACGACCAGCCACACUGGAACUGAGACACGGUCCAGACACCUACGGGUGGCAGCAGUCGAGAAUUUUCUCAAUGGGGCAACCCUGAAGGAGCGACGCCGCGUGGAGGAUGAAGGUCUUCGGAUUGUAAACUCCUGUCAUUUGGAACAAGUUGCCGCGAUUAACUGUCGCGGCAUUGAUAGACAGAAGAGAAGAGACG
rnacentral:rRNA from 1 species